GAAAGGCGCUUUUGCGUCACUGAUGGAUGGACCCGCGGUGCAUUAGCUAGUUGGUGAGGUAACGGCUCACCAAGGCCACGAUGCAUAGCCGACCUGAGAGGGUGAUCGGCCACACUGGGACUGAGACACGGCCCAGACUCCUACGGGAGGCAGCAGUAGGGAAUCUUCGGCAAUGGACGAAAGUCUGACCGAGCAACGCCGCGUGAGUGAAGAAGGUUUUCGGAUCGUAAAACUCUGUUGUUAGAGAAGAACAAGGAUGAGAGUAGAACGUUCAUCCCUUGACGGUAUCUAACCAGAAAGCCACGGCUAACUACGUGCCAGCAGCCGCGGUAAUACGUAGGUGGCAAGCGUUGUCCGGAUUUAUUGGGCGUAAAGCGAGCGCAGGCGGUUUCUUAAGUCUGAUGUGAAAGCCCCCAGCUCAACCGGGGAGGGUCAUUGGAAACUGGGAGACUUGAGUGCAGAAGAGGAGAGUGGAAUUCCAUGUGUAGCGGUGAAAUGCGUAGAUAUAUGGAGGAACACCAGUGGCGAAGGCGGCUCUCUGGUCUGUAACUGACGCUGAGGCUCGAAAGCGUGGGGAGCGAACAGGAUUAGAUACCCUGGUAGUCCACGCCGUAAACGAUGAGUGCUAAGUGUUGGAGGGUUUCCGCCCUUCA
rnacentral:rRNA from 1 species